ACAGAGGGGAUGAUGGGAGGGACAGGAAGGAGAUGUAAAUAUGAGCCUGGCUCAGCCAACUGGAAAACUCUGGACUUAGCAGCUAAGGGAGCCAUCUAAGAGCCGCUAAACCUAUGAGCUGGUGUUGUACUCUGUGAUUUCCAUACAUUUUCUCAUGAAGGCUUCAUAACAAGUCUAGGGUAUGCUCCCAUCACUGCCACCUCCAUCUCACAGACAAAGAACCUGAAACUUGGAGAAAGUCGGAAAGUUGUCUCAUGGAAAUAUCCCAACCCUGCAGCUCUGUCUGCUGACCAGACACACUGCUUUUCCAGACAAUGACUUGUUUGUUUUAUCAUUGUUAGUAAGAUUUUUUUCAAGGUUUUAAAUGUUUUAAAAAGUGUUCCAUCUCUCCAGUCCUAAGAAGAAGUACAUGUGUUUAUAUGAAUAUUUAAAAGACAGUAAAGUGAGGUCUGAAGAGAGGGCUCAGCAGUUAAGAGUAUUUACUGCUCACAUAGAGGACCCAGGUUCAGUCCCCAGCUUCCACAUGGCAGUCCAUAACAGUCCUUAACUUCAGUUCUAGGGAAUCCUAUACCCUCUUCUGGGUCCAUGAGUACCAGGCAUGAACAUGGCUGGCAUACACACACACACACACAUCCCUGUAUGCAAGGAAUUUCUCCCAGUGCAACAAUCUCAUUAGUCAUUGACAGAGUGUGUGUGUGUGUGUGUGUGUGUGCUCUAUCAUACUCCUCCCUGAGGUUUUGGAGAGAAGAAGGCGGGAUCUCCACCUGCAGCUGUGAGGGGGUUUCCUAUACAAGUCUGCCUUGAGGAGAGCCUAGAAGACUUGGCUUUGGCACGCCUCGCCAAGGCCAGAAUGUGUGCUCCGCUGGAGUCUUUGGUCUAAAGGAGAGAGAACCUUUUCCUCGCUGAUCUACCCUGGGAACACCUUUGUUGUUAGCAUGUGCGGGUUUCUACUUUAGCAUCUUUACCUUCUAGCGUCAAGGUACUAAAGAACAGACUGCCUGCAGAAUUAGCAAGCACUCCUGGGGAAGAUCCAGAGCACGGGAGAUUACCUGACAGAAUGACUGAUGUGGGGUCUUGGGAGCAAUGGGACAGGCGCCAACUACAAAGCAGCCGAGGUGACUUCAGCCUCCGAGAAGGGCAUUUGAAACCUGGCACCAGAGAAAAAUCUUCGACUCUUGCUUUAAAUUAAAGGGGAACAUAAAAAAUGACUACUAGCAGGGGUGGCAGAAGCAUUACCUAUGGGAAGUGCAGCCAAUAACUGCUAAUGAAUAAGUGUAAUUGAUCAAAACAGAUGACUUGAUGGAUCUUCCAAAUGUGCUUUUAGCAAAGUGGACAGUUUCUCAUUCAAGUGCAAACUCGCCCAGAUAAGACCUAAUAAUGGAGAUUUUGGAACAAGCCCAGAAUCACUGAUGUGUCUCCCCACACACAGCCCACCCCAUUCACAGAGCAAGAAGGCAUCUUAAGUUCCUUGCUGCAACACAAUCAACCCAGACACCAAUGCAUGCCAACACCAAUGCAUGCCGUCACUGGAACACUGGCACUUAGGAUGUAGCAAAGGGGCAGUUGCAUAUCACCCAGUUAACUAUUCCUCCUUACCUAGUUCUACUCCCUGAUCUAUGAAGAGCUGAACAUCCUUUCAAGUUCAAUGCAGUUGCUCAUUAAUUUAGUCAUUAUUUAUGGAACACUGUGGUCACAAGGGGAUUCAAAGACAACUAAGACCAGACCCUGUCCUCAAGAAAGAUGGCAGACUGGAGAGGAAGCAAAAGACGCAGGACGGUCUCAGCUCACCUAUUCGAACACAUCUUAAAUUCAGUUUUCUCCUCUAUCAGGGAAGGCAUUGGGUCAAACAGGCUCUCGAGGAACCAGGCCAGCUCAAAACUGGGAUUCCAAGCCCUUCCCUCUUCUCGGGCUCCUGGGAAGCCUACAGACCCCAGAGUAGCCUUCUGGGAAAGAAGAGUGGUCAGCAAAGAGGAGCAUUAGAGUAAAUUAGGUCCCCAGCCUGAGAUGCAGGCUGGAGAAAAUGCAAGGUAACUUCAAAACAUUUGGGGAAGGACUUCCCCACUAAGAAAUCUCAGGGAAAAUGGGGACUUCUGGAGCUUCUGCAGAGAGUACUAUUAGGGUGGUGCAAAAGACUCUGGAGGACCUGUGAGGAGUGAGGGCUGAAGACUAAGACUAAAGAAAGAUCCUGCCAAGGUCUAGGCAAGUGCGCCAUUCCACCACGCUCCUCCCCUCCCCCCGCCCCUCGCGACCCCAGGCACAGCCAUCAUGCUUAUUUUCAUAAACUCACCGAACCCCCCAAAUCACUUCCCGCGCUCUUGUUUUGCGUUCCACAGAUAGCUUUACAGAGGGGGUGGGGGGAGGCUUCCCAACUGCCUACGGUUAAAAGGACCACCAAGGUCUUCCGUGGCUGGGUACCAGCAGCCAGCAGGAUAGAUCAGCCAGGUACCUAGAACAGGGGUAUGCUUACCUGCGGAGAAACCGUCUUCAUGGUCUGA
ensembl:lincRNA Gm26780 predicted gene, 26780